GUCAAACCAAUUGUGGUUUUGUAAGCGAUGAAAAGCAAAAUGUCUAGGGGUAGUGAAUUUGGAAGUAAGAAAGACAAGACCCGACGCAGACAACAGAUACUUCUUGCAGCCUUGAACGAGAGAAUUCUCGGAGCCUUGAGGCCUGCACAGUACAGAACUGAAUAUCUGCUUUUUACUCGAACGGAGUCAUGUGAAAAUUUAAACAAAUGGAGGAAUCAAAACAAUGACAAAUGUCUUUGAAACUAAGAAAUGACGAUGAGAAGAGGCCGGCACGUUAUCCAUGAACAGCAAAGUACAGACCACAACAAGUCAAAUUUGUGCCUUACGAUAAUUUCCUGUUAUGGCAAAUGUUCACGAGGAUUAUUUUCCUGCUGUUCUGAAUGUAAUAAGAGCAAGGUUUCCAGGACCCCUGCUUGAUGAUUAAUACAUGAAAUUCACGUGAAGGUGGCAGGUAGUUCUUUUGGAAAGGAGGGAGAAUUCAAUUUCCAAAUGGUCAUCGCUUUAAUAUUGCGUUGAUACUAUACCAUCGGAGGAUCUGUUGCAUACUGGCGUUACUGGUGACUGUAAUGACAUACUGAGGCUCACACUUUGCUUGAUGCCAUCAUUUACAGUGGGAGAGUUGGAAUUCAAUUCAAAGCCUUGGUUAUGUAAUGACGAGCCAUGUAGAGAUGUUUCCACGUUUGGGUACUCGUACUUGGCAGCAUUAAUGUUGACUGAAGAGGGGAUGCUGGAAUCACUUGGAUAAGACUGAUUGUGUCUACAUCUCUCUUCCAGUUUGCGGCUGCUGUCUUGGAAGUAGUAUUUGUUUGGCUCUUCGCCGGCUGCUGCCUUCUCUGAUCCAUGCUUAUUGAUGCUGAUGGAGACUGAGUUGCUGAGGUAGGACUGAGAGUAGCCGCUAAAGGCGCGGCUCUGCGGCGGCGAUGCGCAUGGACUCGAAGUCCACGGGAGCGAGCACACCUCCCGGCGGGUAUAGGAGAGUGCUGGCGACAGAGUUGCCAGUUGAGUCCCAUUCGGACGCAGGUUGGCGAAGUAGAAGGGCUCCGGGCUGGUAAAAUUUAACAGGGAGCCGACAUAGCCUGAAUUUAGCAGAUUGUGCUCGCACAUUUCCGAGCAGCGCGAUCAGAUCCUCUCUGUGCCCUAUUUAGCUUCCAGACAGAGAUAAACGAAAGACGCUCGCUGAUUGGCCCUUUGACGGUCACAAGACAAAUGGAAACAGCUUUUUUUUCUGGAACCGCCUCCGUCCCGCUGCAACUCACAUCUGAAAUGUCCAAGUACACGUCCAUAUGCACCUUCACCCUACUCUACGGCAGUUAGCCCGACAUAACUCGCUUAACUCAACAGGAUGCAUAUACAACGCAGAAAGAAGUAUUUAAACGUGUUAAAAUGGCAUACGUUGCAAUAGAUCUCCGAGGAUUGAACAUACUCUUAAAGGGAUUAAAAUGUGGCUUCUUAAUUCAUAGAGUUUGAAAUAAAAUGUUUUUAAAUAAAGUUUCUUAUGCAUCUAAGGUUCCUCGAUUCUUUCAAACCCAUUUCACAAUUAUUUAACAUUUACUGAUAAAAUUGACAUGAAAUUGUCUACGAUAAUAUCUGACGUGCAUCAUUUUAAUUGGCGGUGCGUAACAUUUGUAGGCAGAAGAAAAGUAUGAAAUGUUAAUUAAAAAUACCUUCUACUUGUUAUAUUUUAACU